AGAGUUUGAUCCUGGCUCAGAACGAACGCUGGCGGCGUGCCUAACACAUGCAAGUCGAGCGCGAAUGGAGCAAUCCUAGUAGAGCGGCGCACGGGUGAGUAACACGUGGGUAAUCUGCCUGGGAGAUCGGAAUAACCUGCCGAAAGGCAAGCUAAUACCGGAUAAGCCCACAGGGUCCUUGGACCCCGAGGGAAAAGGUG
rnacentral:rRNA from 1 species